GACGAACGCUGGCGGCGUGCUUAACACAUGCAAGUCGAACGGAAAGGCCCUGCUUUUGUGGGGUGCUCGAGUGGCGAACGGGUGAGUAACACGUGAGUAACCUGCCCUUGACUUUGGGAUAACUUCAGGAAACUGGGGCUAAUACCGGAUAGGAGCUCCUGCUGCAUGGUGGGGGUUGGAAAGUUUCGGCGGUUGGGGAUGGACUCGCGGCUUAUCAGCUUGUUGGUGGGGUAGUGGCUGACCAAGGCUUUGACGGGUAGCCGGCCUGAGAGGGUGAACGGCCACAUUGGGACUGAGAUACGGCCCAGACUCCUACGGGACGCAGCAGUGGGGAAUAUUGCACAAUGGGCGGAAGCGUGAUGCAGCAACGCCGCGUGCGGGAUGCCGGCCUUCGGGUUGUAAACCGCUUUCGCAUGUGACGAAGCGUGAGUGACGGUAAUGGGUAAAGAAGCACCGGCUAACUACGUG
rnacentral:rRNA from 1 species